rnacentral:rRNA from 1 species
GACGAACGCUGGCGGCGUGCUUAACACAUGCAAGUCGAACGGAAAGGCCCUGCUUUUGUGGGGUUCUCGAUUGGCGAACGGGUGAGUAACACGUGAGUAACCUGCCCUUGACUUUGGGAUAACUUCAGGAAACUGGGGCUAAUACCGGAUAGGAGCUCCUGCUGCAUGGUGGUGGUUGGAAAGUUUCGGCGGUUGGGGAUGGACUCGCGGCUUAUCAGCUUGUUGGUGUGGUAGUGGCUUACCAAGGCUUUGACGGGUAGCCGGCCUGAGAGGGUGACCGGCCACAUUGGGACUGAGAUACGGCCCAGACUCCUACGGGAGGCAGCAGUGGGGAAUAUUGCACAAUGGGCGGAAGCCUGAUGCAGCAACGCCGCGUGCGGGAUGACGGCCUUCGGGUUGUAAACCGCUUUCGCCUGUGACGAAGCGUGAGUGACGGUAAUGGGUAAAGAAGCACCGGCUAACUACGUG